UACGUAGGGUGCAAGCGUUGUCCGGAAUUAUUGGGCGUAAAGAGCUCGUAGGCGGUUUGUCGCGUCGGCCGUGAAAACCUGCAGCUUAACUGUGGGCGUGCGGUCGAUACGGGCAUCACUGGAGUUCGGCAGGGGAGACUGGAAUUCCUGGUGUAGCGGUGAAAUGCGCAGAUAUCAGGAGGAACACCGGUGGCGAAGGCGGGUCUCUGGGCCGAUACUGACGCUGAGGAGCGAAAGCGUGGGGAGCGAACAGG
rnacentral:rRNA from 1 species